rnacentral:ncRNA from 1 species
AAACUGGCUGAUCCUGCCAGUAAUCAUACACUUGCCUCAGAGAUUAAACCACGCAUGUCCAGAUACAUACCUUAAAAAGGUGAAACUGCAAAUAGCUCAAUAAAUCAGAUAGGCUUCCUUAGAUCAUAUAUACUCCACGGAUAACUGAAGUAAUUCUAGAACUAAUACACGCCAUUACCUUCACUAAAACUUUUCAACUGUCGUUUAAAGCCCUAAUAGUUCCAUUUGGAAGGCAAACAGAAUGGAGAAACCAACAAACCAACCGACCAAUAAACUAAAGCUUGAUAACAUUUUAACACUGUACGGUGACCUAUUCCUAAACUGCUGAAAUUUACAUUGCUAUUUCUUUUAUUUUCAAACAAUCUAAUUCCCUUAUGAGACGAUACUGUUCACUGUACGACAACGGAACAUGUCAAGUGAUCCACAACGGAAAACUCAGUAAGGCGUUUGGGGGAAACACAGGAUUCAGACAAGGGUGCUUAUUAUCACCAAUGAUAUUCCUAAUUGUGGUGAACUGACUUGAUUAUGCGUCAGACAGUGAGUGGGAAACGAGAAAACAGGGAGGGAUAUCCUGGACCGACCGAC